rnacentral:lncRNA from 1 species
CACAUCAACAUAUAUUUUAUUGGAUUAAUUGUAUACACAUCCCUACAACCAUAAUGAAUUGCAGGUAUAUACCUGCAAAGCUUAACUUUUAUAAGUUAUUCCUACAAAAGUCCUAAUAUGUUCAGAUAUGUCCCUCUAAUUAGGAUCUGUUAAAGAGUUGUUAAUUUUUUAACAGUAGAGUUGUGAAAUGAUAAUUUUGUCCUUACCCUAUUUUUCUUUCUCUUCCUCUUCCUCUUUAGGCUGCGGGAGCGGACGGCGGCGGCGGCAACGGCGACCUCGUAGAGCUUGUCAGAGAUGCAGCCAAUGAGGACAAAGAAGAGGCAGAAGGCGAAGGCCCGGCCGAUACCAUCGGAGGUGCCCGUGACGACGGCCCACGCAGGCACCACGACGGCGACGACAAUCGGAUCAUCGAUGACGACAACGAAGAAGAAGGAGGAGAAAAGGAGGAGGAAAAGGAGGAUAUAGAGAAGAAGAGGAAAAAGAAGAAGGGCAAAAUUAUCAAUUCAUAUUAUUAAUUAAUCAUGGUUAAGUAUUUUAAUUGUAGUUAAUAAAAAUUUUCUAAUGAACCAUAACAGCAGGGACAUAUCUGAAUAUAUUAGGACUUUUGUACGAAUAAUUUAUAAAAGUUGAGCUUUACAGAUAUAUAUCUGCAAUUCACCAUAUUUACUGGAACGUGAAUUCAACUAAUCCUAUUUUAUUUUUAUUAAAUUAAAUAACAUUUU